rnacentral:rRNA from 1 species
AACGAACGCUGGCGGCAGGCUUAACACAUGCAAGUCGAGCGAGAUCUUCGGGUCUAGCGGCGGACGGGUGAGUAACGCGUGGGAACGUGCCCUUUUCUGCGGAAUAGCCUCGGGAAACUGAGAGUAAUACCGCAUACGCCCUUUUGGGGCAAGAUUUAUCGGAGAAGGAUCGGCCCGCGUUGGAUUAGGUAGUUGGUGGGGUAAAGGCCUACCAAGCCGACGGUCCAUAGCUGGUUUGAGAGGAUGAUCAGCCACACUGGGACUGAGACACGGCCCAGACUCCUACGGGAGGCAGCAGUGGGGAAUCUUAGACAAUGGGGGAAACCCUGAUCUAGCCAUGCCGCGUGAGCGAUGAAGGCCUUAGGGUUGUAAAGCUCUUUCAGUGGGGAAGAUAAUGACGGUACCCACAGAAGAAGCCCCGGCUAACUCCGUGCCAGCCGCCGCGGUAAUAC